rnacentral:lncRNA from 1 species
AAAGUAUUAUUGAAACUCUUUUCAAUGGGUCAGAAUAAUUUUACUCUAUCUCAUCAAGGAUUGUCGAUCCAGAACAAUCCUAGUGAUCUCUCACAAUCCACUAGUGAUACCUAGCAGUAUGUAAUGACAACUUAGUAGAACUAAAAUGAACCUUUAGGUGUAGUUAACGUAUGAUUCAAUCCUUCUAUUAUGAGUCCCGACUAGAUGUCAAGUCAUAGAUAAAUCACCAAACCUCAACAUCAG